rnacentral:lncRNA from 1 species
GUUCUAUUCCUGUUCUAGAUGAAUCAGACAGAGAGACAGGGACAGAGGUUCUAUUCCUGUUGUAGUUGAAUCAGACAGAGAGACAGGGACAGAGGUUCUAUUCCUGUUAAAGAUGAAUCAGACAGAGAGACAGGGACAGAGGUUAUAUUCCUGUUCUAGUUGAAUCAGACAGAGAGACAGGGACAGAGGUUCUAUUCCUGUUCUAGAUGAAUCAGACAGAGAGACAGGGACAGAGGUUCUAUUCCUGUUCUAGAUGAAUCAGACAGAGAGACAGGGACAGAGGUUCUAUUCCUGUUCUAGAUGAAUCAGACAGAGAGACAGGGACAGAGGUUAUAUUCCUGUUCUAGAUGAAUCAGACAGAGAGACAGGGUCAGAGGUUCUCUUCCAAUUCUAGUUGAAUCAGACAGAGAGACAGGGACAGAGGUUCUAUUCCUGUUGAAUCAGACAGAGAGACAGGGACAGAGUUUCUAUUCCUGUUCUAGUUGAAUCAGACAGAGAGACAGGGACAGAGGUUAUAUUCCUGUUCUAGAUGAAUCAGACAGAGAGACAUGGACAGAGGUUCUAUUCCUGUUGAAUCAGACAGAGAGACUGGGUCAUAGGUUCUAUUCCUUUUGUAGUUGAAUCAGACAGAGAGACAGGGACAGAGGUUCUAUUCCUGUUGAAGCAGACAGAGAGACAGGGACAGAGGUUCUAUUCCUGUUCUAGUUGAAUCAGACAGAGAGACAGGGACAGAGGUUCUAUUCCUGUUCGAGAU